AUGGCUGAUGCUUUCGUUUACGUGCUGCUGGAACAACUGGCUUCAAUAAGCUAUCAACAGAUAGAGAAAGAGGUGAGGCUUGUUUGUGAGGUCAAGAAAGAAGUUGCCAAGAUCACCAGCAAUCUGAAAGCUAUUCAGGCCGUGCUCGAAGAUGCAGAGAAGAGGCAGAUCAAGGAAGUCAUCGUCAGAGACUGGCUGGAGAAGCUCAAAGAUGUGUCGUACGAGAUGGAUGACGUUCUUGAUGACUGGUCUACUGAGAUUCUCAUACAGCAACUUGAUCAUCACCAACAAGAAGGUGAAAGUAGUACUAGUACUGCUGCUGCUGCUGUUACCAAGAAGAAGGUAUGUUUUUACGUACCCUCCAACUGUUUUUGUUUUGGCCAAGUCAAGCGAGUGAUCCACCGCCGUGACAUUGCUCGUAGAAUACAAGAUUUGAGUGAUAGGUUGAAUGAGAUAGCUAGAGAAAGACAAAUCUAUAACUUUCAAAACACUGAAAAAGUCCCUGACAGCUUGAGAGGUUUGAAACUUCAUCUUUUGUCGAUUUGCUCCAAGACAUUUGGCAGGGAAGAUGAAACUGAAGUAGUCAUGGGCAAGUUGGUCGGCGAGAGUAGUCAAGAGGCGAGGAACCUCCUAGUUAUUUCUGUAGUAGGAAUGGGGGGUAUGGGGAAGACAACUCUUGCCCAGAUUGUCUAUAAUAAUGAAAAGGUGAAGUCAAAUUUCACAAAGAGAAUAUGGGUUUGUGUUGCAGACCCAUUUAAUGAGAUCAAGAUUGCCAAAGCUAUUGUUCAAAAUGUCAAUAAAGGUGAUGCUCCCAAUUCAAAUGAUUUGCAACCUUUAUUGGAAUGUAUACAUAAAAAUGUAGAAGGCCAAAAGUUUCUCCUUGUGUUGGAUGAUGUAUGGAACGAAGACUAUAGAAAGUGGGAGCAAUUGAAGCUAUCUCUACAAAGUGGUUAUGUAGGUAGUAGAAUAUUGAUCACCACACGAAAAGAGGAAGUUGCUAGGAUGAUGGGAGCAACAAACGCUAAUAUGAUACACUUGGGGAAGUUGAGUGAACAAUGUUGUUGGUCGAUAUUCUAUCACCUUGCAUUGGCUGAGAGGGAAAAAAAUGAGUCAGUAGUGUUAGAAUCUUUGGGUAAGAACAUUGUAAAAAGGUGUCAAGGUUUGCCUCUUGUUGCAAAGGCUUUAGGUAGUCUGAUGCGCUCAAAGAUAACCAAGAAAGAAUGGGUAGCUGUUUUGGAAAGUAAGGUUUGGUAGUUGGAUGUAGUUGAGAACCAAGUUUUUCCACCGUUGUUACUAAGUUAUUAUGAUUUGGAUCCGAAAAUCAAGCGUUGUCUUUUGUAUUGUGUAGUUUUUCCCAAAGAUCAUGAUAUUAACAAAGAAAAUGUGAUUGAGUUGUGGAUGUCGCGAGAUUUUAUGAAAGAUAAACUUGGAAAUAUUAAAAGAUGCAAAAUGCUUGACAUUGUGCAUGACUUUCUCCAGUUUUUGACCAAGAAUGAGUGUUUUAUGUUGGAUGCCCAAGGUAAAAACAGAAUAGAGUUACCAGUGGGGAAUAAGUUUCGCUAUUUGACCGUAACGGAUGCACUCAAGGGUCCAUUUCUUGUUUCCCUUGACACUGGGGAAAGUUUAAGGACUCUGGCGACUUUUAAUUGUGAAAUUGUUACUCUUAACCCAGAGUUCGUUUUACAAUUAAACCGCCUGAGGACCUUGAAUUUGAGAAAUAAUCGUAUGGAACAACUUCCAGACGAGGUUGGCGGAUUGAUGCACUUGAGGUACUUGGAUUUAUCAGGCAACAAAUGGAAGAAAUUACCCGACAGUUUGUGUAAUUUGAUCAACAUGGAAACCUUGAGACUUGAAGAGCGCGAAGUUCUUGAAGAGUUACCCGAGGGCAUGGGAAAGCUGACUAACUUGCGACAUCUCCAUGUUAAGAAAAGUGAUGCUCUCAAGUUGCCGAAAUCAAUUGCCAAGCUGACGAGUCUACAGACUCUAGAUCAAGUUAAUAUUUUUGGCGACGGCUUCCAUUUAAGUGAUUUGAGAAACAUGGAUCAGCUUCAGGGAAAGCUUUUGAUAAACUGGAAGGGCCCAGUGUUUGAUGGCGCCAAGAAAGCAAACUUGGUGAACAAGAAACACCUUGUUUCGUUGACACUACGUCUUUGGGGUGGGGAAAGCGACGAAAUGCUGAAUGCCUUACAGCCGAAUCCAAAUCUGGAAUCUUUACAGAUCCAACGUUACAGUGGCAACACAUUGUGCCCUAACUGGAUGAGCAUGUCAUUAAAUAAUUUGAGAUACCUUGCCUUGAAAGUGAAAAAGCUGGGAUUCGAGUAUUCCCAGCUCGACUCAUUCUCCUCAUCUUCAUCAUCACUUGAACUCACUUUAUUCCCAUAUCUGAAGACACUGGUGUUGAAGGGCCUGCUUGAGUGCGAGGAGCGGGAAGGAAUUCCAGCUGGGUUUGAGUGCAUGUACUAA